CAGAGGUAGAGAGAGGAAAGAGAGAGUAGAGAGACAGGGUAAAGAGAGGAGAGGGAGAGAGCAGAGGUAGAGAGAGGAAAGAGAGAGUAGAGAGACAGGGUAAAGAGAGGAGAGGGAGAGAGCAGAGGGAGAGAGAGGAAAGAGAGAGUAGAGAGACAGGGUAAAGAGGAGAGGGAGAGAGAGGAAAGAGAGAGUAGAGAGACAGGGUAAAGAGAGGAGAGGGAGAGAGCAGAGGUAGAGAGAGGAAAGAGAGAGUAGAGAGAGUAGAGAGACAGGGUAAAGAGGAGAGGGAGAGAGCAGAG
ensembl:lncRNA